GACAUUCUGUUACCUAGCAGGAAUCUAAUUCAAGUAUUUUUCUUCCUUAAGCAUCUGCAAAGCCAGUAUCUGGAAUUUCCUUGCCAGAUGAUACGCUUCUCACAUCCCUUUACAACUCCGAACUGAUUUUACGUGAAAAAGAAAUGCAUUUUUUUCUUAAAAGGCACUUACAGCUGUAUUCGUCCUCUUGUAUUGAUGAAUUCCCAAAAGAACUUUUUCUAGGAUUGGAAAAACCACAUCUUGCAGAGAGAGUCCUAUAUGACACAAUAGCCAAGAUAUAUCAUGACAGUUCCCUGCAGUCUAUCUUUUCUUCAAAACUUCUUUCCAGUACAUCUUCUGUGGACGUUACGUCAUCAGAAAUGGUAGUACCAACUGUAAACAAAGAACUUUGCUUUCAGUGGUACAUUCCUCCCCUGGAAAGACCUCCAAAGGAAGGAGAACCUAUGGUUUUAUUAUUGUGUGCAUACAACACAAAGCUCUUGAAGAGUUCAGAUAUUAAACUUUCCAGUUGGGGCAACAUAUUUGUUGACUCUUUCUGGAUUCCACUGAACAGGGUUAUUUCAGUUCAUGAGAAACUUUCUAAUCUUGCACAAAUAGCUGAACUAUCAUUGCCAGCAACUCCUGAAAAUACUGCAAAUGAGGAUAUAUAUAAAGUGGAUGAAACAGAAGAGAAACCAAUUGGUAAAGAUAUAGAAAACAUGAUUCUUGAAUGCUGCUCUGAAAUAUUAGCUCUGUUUUUGAGUGACAGAGAGCCAACACCAUUAACUGAGGGAUGAAUAAAACUGAGAAAUCAAUCAAAAGUGUGACAUCAGAUUGAAGAAUUUUUAAACAGUAUCUAUGAGCCUUUGGAAAUGUGGUGAGAAGAAAUGAUUAUGAUUCAAUAUACUGCUUCCACAGAAAGUUCCCAUUCAGACUUGGAUCUUACCCCAUCUGAUUACUUAUGAUGUAUGCAGAUACUCCAGAUAUUGUUUUGAGUUUUUGCUAUUAUUUACACUUUUGUAAGUUUCUUUAGUUUGCUUUUAUUUUGUCCAACUAAUCAAUUUUCUUAGUGUAUUGCUUCAACUUCCUGAUUCUCUCCUGUGUUUUGAAAAGAAUAAACAUUUGACUAAAUUAAAACUACAUUCUGA
rnacentral:lncRNA from 1 species